AAAUGUCCGCCAAUCUAACUAUUUUGGCGUCAAUAUAGAAAACAGAGGCACUAGGCAAACCUUUACAAACACAAGAUCCUAAAUACCAGGCGGAAGAGAUUUCAAUCUGGAGCCUGAUUGCAUCCACAAACCAAAUUCAGGCAGAUAGCAAAGUCUGCAAAUAUCAAGCGAUCCGAGGUUUAAAGUAAGGAAAUCAUUGUCCUCUAUGGCUUCUUCAAGCAGUGGUCAUGAGAACCAUGAACACGGCAAUGGAUCUUCAGGACCAAAAGUAAGAAAUCUGACUUGUAUUGUUCUUUAUCUCCUCUUUUCAUUGUUCUUGUCCUUCUUGUUGAACUAGUUGCACCAUUUCCUCUGCUGAAGAACAAAUCAAAAAUGUUGAUGAUUGUAUAAGAUCUAUGCAAAUCUGACACAAAAGGAAUAGCAGUUCUGCACAACUUACUUUGUCAGGUCAAUCAUGUUAUUUCACUCAUAUAUACAAGAAUAUGUUGAAGAAUAUAAGAAGUACAAUGCUGAUUUUCAGCAUUGUAUCUACGAUAUUGAGGAAGAAGAAGAUUUUAUAAAUGAAUGGAAUAGAAUGCUAAAUAGAUAUGGACUAGGUGACAAUACGUGGCUGCAAAGGUUGUUUGAGAAAAGGGAGCAAUGGGCACUAGUGUAUGGCAGAAAUACAUUCUCAGCCCACAUGAGCACUACCUAAAGAAGUGAAAGCAUGAAUAAUGAACUAAAGCGGUACAUUAGUAUCAAAUAUGACAUGCUUACUUUUUUCGAGCAUUUUGAGCGCCUGGUUGCGGAUAAAAGAUUUGUGGAGGUCAAGUGGGACUUCAAGGCCUCACAAAGUACUCCCGUUGGUGGCUCGGAGAAAGCAAAAACAAAGAAGAAAAAGAAGGCAGCCCAUUCUUUACAACAACGACCUGAAAUGCCUUUGACAAACCAAAUGCCUGGGUAUCUACCACAGUACAACCCAACCCAAAUGGUAUAAGAAGUGUACUUUUUAAACUAUUUUUCAUUUUCAAUCACCUAUGACCUAAGCUUUGCUAUUUAUCUGCAUAGGUUCAUCUGGGAGCUCCGCCAAAUCAUGUGUACCCCUAUUUAGCAAAUUACAACCCAAGUCUGCAACAAUCCAUUGGUCUGUCGACCCCUAUGAUGAUGCCAGGACAAAAUCUAUUACUCUUCCAACAACAGACUCCUACCAGUGGUACUUGUACCCCUAUGAUGAUGACAGGACAGAAUCUACCAUUCUUCCCACAACAAAAUCCUACCAUUGGUACCUCUAGCCCUACGAUGAUGUCGGAACAUAAUCUAUCAUUCUUUCAACAAUAGACUCCUACCAGUGGUACCUCUACACGUAUGAUGAUGCCUGGACAGAAUCUAUCAUUUUUCCAGCAACAAAAUCCUACCAGUGGUACCUCUACCCCGACAAUGAUGCCAGGACAAGAUCUACCAUUCUCCCAACAACAAAAGCCAGCUUAAUCAAUGUUAUAGAUUUUUGUUUCAUGUACUUGUGUGCAACUCUAUUAGAACCUAUGAGUAUACGACCAUGGAUUGAAGGAGACUAUUUAUAUCAACCAGCAAGUAAUUGAAUAAGCAAUUUGUGACUGUGAUAAAUAUAAAAAUAGUAUUAUCUGUCAUGUAUUGAAUAGGCUUGGUUAGCAUCAUGUAAAAAAUGUACUAUUACCAACAUCAUAGAUUUGUUUGUCUAACCUGACAAACAGACCAGUAGUCGAUGAC
rnacentral:lncRNA from 1 species